GAGAGAGAGAGAGAGAAUGCAGAGAGUGCUGUUCUCUUGCUAAGGACAAAAUAAAAACCCCACAGGCAUGCUCCAGUGACCUACUUCCUACAGGCACGCCCCACCUGCCUACAGUUACUACCCAGUACAGUAGUCCUUUAAAACUGGUAAUCCAUCAGAUGGCGACAGCUCUCAUAAUCAUUUCACCUCUGAACAUUCCUGCAUAACACAUGGGCUUUGGGGCGACACUUCAUAUCUAACCCUUAACAGCUCUGAUCAAAUGUUAGUUACCAGUGAGCCCUACCCUGGUCCCCCACCUCCAUUCCACUUGCUGGUCACUGACAAGUUUGCUCCCCACCUCUACUGUCUCUAUCAUAAUGCAAACCCCAUGAGAGAAGGGCUUCUGCCCAGAACCUAGGAUUGAGACAACCUCAAAGGAGCUAAUUGAUGCCUUUUCAUUAAAUGAAGGAGCAAAAUUCUCCCUGUGUUUCAAGCACUGUGGAAAGACUAGAUACGUUACCACAGUCCUAGGCCAGUGGCCCGACUCUGAGAUCCAACAGAUCAGGUCUGGUCACUCAUCCCAAAAACCAAACAGAAAAGGCAAGGGUAAAAAUCACUGAAGGAAUUUUAAUCAGUGUAGACACACCUGCAAGACAAGGGGACCCAAGUCCUUUGACCUGUUUUCCAGAGACUGACAAUGACCUUGAAGUUUUAUAUAAAGGAGAAAAGGGUAAGGGUUGAAGGUUUAUAUGUUUGGAGCCUUUUCACAGUUGCCAAAGUAGGUCCUCUUGAUCAGGUGUGGUCUGUCCAUCAUUAUCUCAGGAUUGGUCAGGUGGGUCCUUGUCCCAGAUAAGAAAGAUGCUAUUGCUUGUGGGUGGGGGCAGUUAGCGUCAAGUCACCACAAGAUGUUUAUUGAUCAGACCUUGUUCCUGAAAUCCAAGGUGUCUCAGAAUACAAAUAAUAGAGGCAAAAUAGAAGCAUAGGUACCAAAUCAAUAAUCUUGCUUUUAGCCACCCACUGGACUUUUGCAGACAAAAGUGAAGAGUCUUAAGUUUUUGUUCCAUUAUAGGUCCUCCUAGAUUUUCUGAGUUAAUAAUUCCUCACACUUUCUAGGUCAUGUUGUUCUGUAUCAGUUUAUAGGUGGUAUUCUAUAACUCAGAACCCUAAAUCUCAAAUGCCUCAGUCCAUCCAAGAGACUGAAGGAUCAAGACAUGUGUGCUUUGCAAAGCUCCCCCAUGUGUGCGCCUCCAUAGAAGCCCUUGGUGUGGUGGAGCUCUUAAUGAUUGAGAUGCAAUACUGUUAACCAUGGAUAUUACUCAGGGUCCUUCAGAGAGACAACCCAUACACAUGCAUUUUUGAGAAAGAGGUUUAUUUUUAAAAAAAUUGACUCAUGAAGUUUCUUGUAAUAGUCCACUUACGGAAACAGACUUGGUUAAAAUCUGCAGAGCCAGUGUCCCAGUUUGAGUAUGAAGGCCAGACUCUGCUGUAGAACCAGGGAGAGGUAAUGUUUUGUCUUAUUCAGGGGAGCGUCAGACUUUUCUUCUAGUCAGGACUUCAACUGAUUGCUUAAGGCUCACCCUCAUUGGGAAGGACACUCUGCUUUGCCCUGUCUACCAAUUCAGAUGUUAAACUCAUCCAAAAACAUCCUCAAAGAAAUUCCCAGAAUAAUGUUUAACCAAAUAUCUGGGCACCCUGCAGUCUAAUCAAGUUGACACAUAAAAUUAACCCUCACAGUGUGUCACAAGUUUUGUGCUUCUAGGGCUGUUCUUUUCCUUUUUCAUUUUUUAUUCAGCACUGAAGAUGGAAACCAGGGUCUCAUGCAUGCUAGGCAAGUGCUCUGCCCCUGAGCUACAAACUCAGUCUUCUCAGGAUGUUUUAAUUCCAUCAUCUCAAGAUUUGGUUCUUAUUGUUUAUAUUCUUAUUUCACAAAGAAAAUCGAGGCUCAAAAUCUAAGCACCUUGCUUUGCUAAAACACUUUGCCUUGCUAAAUUUUAGCCCUCUAACUCCAGGUACAUGUUUAC
rnacentral:lncRNA from 1 species